AGUGAACGCUGGCGGUAGGCCUAACACAUGCAAGUCGAACGGCAGCACAGUAAGAGCUUGCUCUUACGGGUGGCGAGUGUCGGACGGGUGAGGAAUACAUCGGAAUCUACUUUUUAGUGGGGGCUAACGUAGGGAAACUUACGCUAAUACCGCAUACGACCUACGUGUGAAAGCAGGGGAUCUUCGGACCUUGCGCGAUUGAAUGAGCCGAUGUCGGAUUCGCUAGUUGGCGGGGUAGAGGCCCACCAAGGCGACGAUCCGUAGCUGGUCUGAGAGGAUGAUCAGCUACACUGGAUCUGAGACACGGUCCAGACUCCUACGGGAGGCAGCAGUGGGGAAUAUUGGACAAGGGGGGCGUGCCUGAUCCAGCCAUACCGCGUGGGGGAAGAAGGCCUUCUGGUUGUAGAGCCCUUUUGUUGGGAAAGAAAAGCAGCAGGUUAAUACCCCGCUGUUCUGACGGUACCCAAAGAAUAAGCACCGGCUAACUUCGUG
rnacentral:rRNA from 1 species